UACGUAGGGUGCGAGCGUUGUCCGGAAUUAUUGGGCGUAAAGAGCUCGUAGGCGGUUUGUCGCGUCGGCCGUGAAAACUUGGGGCUUAACCCCAAGCUUGCGGUCGAUACGGGCAGACUUGAGUUCGGCAGGGGAGACUGGAAUUCCUGGUGUAGCGGUGAAAUGCGCAGAUAUCAGGAGGAACACCGGUGGCGAAGGCGGGUCUCUGGGCCGAUACUGACGCUGAGGAGCGAAAGCGUGGGAGCGAACAGG
rnacentral:rRNA from 1 species